UACGUAGGGUGCUAGCGUUGUCCGGAAUCAUUGGGCGUAAAGCGCGCGUAGGCGGCUCGGUAAGUCCGCUGUGAAAGUCAAAGGCUCAACCUUUGAAUGUCAGUGGAUACUGCCAGGCUAGAGUCCGGAAGAGGCGAGUGGAACUCCUGGUGUAGCGGUGGAAUGCGCAGAUAUCAGGAAGAACACCGACGGCGAAGGCAGCUCGCUGGGACGGUACUGACGCUGAGGCGCGAAAGCGUGGGGAGCGAACAGG
rnacentral:rRNA from 1 species